UACAGAGGGGGCAAGCGUUGUUCGGAAUUACUGGGCGUAAAGGGCGCGUAGGCGGCCUGCUAAGUCGAACGUGAAAUCCCCGAGCUCAACUCGGGAACUGCGUCCGAUACUGACGGGCUUGAAUCCGGGAGAGGGAUGCGGAAUUCCAGGUGUAGCGGUGAAAUGCGUAGAUAUCUGGAGGAACACCGGUGGCGAAGGCGGCAUCCUGGACCGGCAUUGACGCUGAGGCGCGAAAGCUAGGGGAGCAAACGGG
rnacentral:rRNA from 1 species